CAAGUCAGAUGUGAGAGCCUUCUGUUCAACGGGAGAAUUGCAUCUGAAACUGCCAAUCUUGAGUAUAGGAGGGGAGAAUGGAACUUCUGGUGGAGCGGUGAAAUGCGUAGAUAUCAGAAGGAACGCCGGCGGCGAAAGCGAUUCUCUGGCCUAUUACUGACACUCAGUGUGCGAAAGCUAGGGGAGCAAACGGGAUUAGAUACCCCGGUAGUCCUAGCCGUAAACGAUGGGCACUAAGUAGAGGGGAUUACCUAUGUUCUCUCUGCCGUAGCUAACGCAUUAAGUGCCCCGCCUGGGGAGUACGGCCGCAAGGCUAAAACUCAAAAGAAUUGACGGGGGCUUGCACAAGCGGUGGAGCAUGUGGCUUAAUUCGAUGCAACGCGAAAAACCUUACCGGGGCUUGACAUGAUAGAAGUAGGAACCUGAAAGGGGGACGAACGGUAUCCAGUCCGUAGCUAUUACAGGUGUUGCAUGGCUGUCGUCAGCUCGUGUCGUGAGACGUUGGGUUAAGUCCCCUAACGAGCGAAACCCUUGUUUUUAGUUACCAGCGGGUUAUGCCGGGUACUCUAGAAAGACUGCCGUCGUCAAGACGGAGGAAGGUGGGGAUGACGUCAAGUCAGCAUGGCCCUUAUGCCCCGGGCUGCACACGUGCUACAAUGGUCGGUACAGACGGAAGCGAAG
rnacentral:rRNA from 1 species